rnacentral:lncRNA from 1 species
AGAAGCUGCUUUUAAAUUGUUACUUCACUAGCCAAAGAAAUCAGAGGGGAAAAGGAUGGUCUAGAGUCUAUCUAGAACUAGAGAUAUAAACCACAUUUCCCAUUCUACCAAACGCACUAAGUAAAUUCCUGAAUACGUUGCUUAAUUUCCAUCAGCCUUCAGCUUGGCUCAGCAGCAUUCAUACAGCUCAUGAACCAGUAAUGAAGAAAACUGCAGUAAAGACUGUAGAAUAACUGUGCAAAUGGCCAUUUUAUAUGUAUUUACAACAGCUGAAGGAUUUCAGCUCUACCAUUGGAACAGGGAAUUCACACAGCUGAAGGGCCAUUUUGCCUGUAUUUCUAAGAGCUGAGCACCUUCAGCUGUGCCAAUUUCUUUGUUGCAGAGGCAGAGAGAAAGAAUAAUCUAAUGCAUACUUGCCUACUUUCCUUUGCAGUCUGUGCAUAUGCUAGCCUGAAAGUAGGAAUCCAGUUUACCAUAUCCAGUUAUUUUUUAAAAGUAUUCUGGGAACUGAAGCUUCCGUACCUUAUUCUAAGGUUUCCAAAUAAUAAAAGUUUGAACCUGGUUUUCUGAAAUGCAAUUAUUCUACUGAGGAGGAAGGUUGCUGGCUGGAGUUUGUUUCAUUCUACAGUUGGAAGAGGCUUUCCCACUCAGUAUCUUCUUUUAUGCCAUUUCUUGGAUUUGCAGUCUUUUAUUUGAAUAAAUCAAUGGAGUGACUCCUUCUACAAGGAUGAGAUUAAUAGGCAGUGAUUCCUUAUCAGUAUGAAGCUGGAUAUUUCAAUUUUUCCUCCAGAGCACAGUAAGCAGAGCAUGAUCAAUUACUGCACCAGUAAAAGGGGAUAUGAGUGUGUGCAACCACUAGGAGCUGGCAACUCAAAGUUUUCUAUCAAUACAGAACAGAAACAGAUGGAUUCCCAUGAGAGACAGAGCAGGCCGAGCUGCUAUGAGAGUUUAAAGAAUUAAGUUAUGUGCUCAUCUCAGUGCUAGCUGCAAAAGCAAGCCAGUGUACAAUUGAGC